GGCGCAGAACGAACGCUGGCUUCCUGCUUAAACAUGCAAGUCUAGCGGUAUGGCCCUUCGGGGUACACGAGCGGCGAACGGGUGAGUAACACGUGGGUGAUCUGCCUCGUACUCUGGGAUAAGCCUGGGAAACUGGGUCUAAUACCGGAUAUGACCACGAAUCGCAUGGUUUGUGGUGGAAAGAUUUAUCGGUGCGAGAUGGGCCCGCGGCCUAUCAGCUUGUUGGUGGGGUAAUGGCCUACCAAGGCGACGACGGGUAGCCGACCUGAGAGGGUGACCGGUCACUCUGGGACUGAGACACGGCCCAUACUCCUACGGGAGGCAGCAGUGGG
rnacentral:rRNA from 1 species